rnacentral:rRNA from 1 species
AUUGAACGCUGGCGGCAUGCUUUACACAUGCAAGUCGAACGGUAACAGGCCGCAAGGUGCUGACGAGUGGCGAACGGGUGCGUAAUUCAUCGGAACGUGCCCAGUCGUGGGGGAUAACUACUCGAAAGAGUAGCUAAUACCCCAUACGAUCUAUGGAUGAAAGCGGGGGACCGUAAGGCCUCGCGCGAUUGGAGCGGCCGAUGUCAGAUUAGGUAGUUGGUGGGGUAAGGGCUCCCCAAGCCAACGAUCUGUAGCUGGUCUGAGAGGACAACCAGCCACACUGGGACUGAGACACGGCCCAGACUCCUACGGGAGGCAGCAGUGGGGAAUUUUGGACAAUGGGCGCAAGCCUGAUCCAGCAAUGCCGCGUGCAGGAAGAAGGCCUUCGGGUUGUAAACUGCUUUUGUACGGAACGAAACGGCUCUGGUUAAUACCCGGGGCUAAUGACGGUACCGUAAGAAUAAGCACCGGCUAACUACGUG